UGAGGAAUUUUGCGCAAUAGGGGAAACCCUGACGCAGCAACGCCGCGUGAGUGAAGAAGGCCCUCGGGUCGUAAAGCUCUGUCAAGUGGGAAGAAUCUGCCCGAUGAUAAUACCAUUGGGCACCGACGGUACCACUGAAGGAAGCACCGGCUAACUCCGUGCCAGCAGCCGCGGUAAUACGGGGGGUGCAAGCGUUAUUCGGAAUCAUUGGGCGUAAAGGGCGCGUAGGCGGUCUUUUAAGUCAGAUGUGAAAGCCCUCGGCUUAACCGAGGAAGUGCAUUUGAUACUAAAAGACUUGAGUAUGGGAGAGGGAAGCGGAAUUCCUGGUGUAGCGGUGAAAUGCGUAGAUAUCAGGAGGAACACCGGUGGCGAAGGCGGCUUCCUGGACCAAUACUGACGCUGAGGCGCGAAGGCGUGGGGAGCAAACAGGAUUAGAUACCCUGGUAGUCCACGCAGUAAACUGUGAACACUAGGUGUAGCGGGUAUUGACCCCUGCUGUGCCGAAGCUAACGCAUUAAGUGUUCCGCCUGGGAAGUACGGCCGCAAGGUUA
rnacentral:rRNA from 1 species